rnacentral:rRNA from 1 species
CAGUGGCGGACGGGUGAGUAACGCGUGAGAAUCUGCCCUCAGGAGGGGGAUAACGGCUGGAAACGGCCGCUAAUACCCCAUAUGCCGCGAGGUGAAAUGAAUUUCGCCUGAGGAUGAGCUCGCGUCUGAUUAGCUAGUUGGUGGGGUAAAGGCCUACCAAGGCGACGAUCAGUAGCUGGUCUGAGAGGAUGAUCAGCCACACUGGGACUGAGACGCGGCCCAGACUCCUACGGGAGGCAGCAGUGGGGAAUUUUCCGCAAUGGGCGAAAGCCUGACGGAGCAACGCCGCGUGAGGGAUGAAGGCCUCUGGGCUGUAAACCUCUUUUCUCAAGGAAGAAGAUCUGACGGUACUUGAGGAAUAAGCCACGGCUAA